rnacentral:rRNA from 1 species
GUGUACGUACAAGCAGUGGGAGCACCCUUUGGGGUGUGACUGCGUACCUUUUGUAUAAUGGGUCAGCGACUUAUAUUCUGUAGCAAGGUUAACCGAAUAGGGGAGCCGGAGGGAAACCGAGUCUUAAUUGGGCGUUAAGUUGCAGGGUAUAGACCCGAAACCCGGUGAUCUAGCCAUGGGCAGGUUGAAGGUUGGGUAACACUAACUGGAGGACCGAACCGACUAAUGUUGAAAAAUUAGCGGAUGACCUGUGGCUGGGGGUGAAAGGCCAAUCAAACCGGGAGAUAGCUGGUUCUCCCCGAAAGCUAUUUAGGUAGCGCCUCGUGAAUUCAUCUCCGGGGGUAGAGCACUGUUUCGGCUAGGGGGCCAUCCCGGCUUACCAACCCGAUGCAAACUGCGAAUACCGGAGAAUGUUAUCACGGGAGACACACGGCGGGUGCUAACGUCCGUCGUGAAGAGGGAAACAACCCAGACCGCCAGCUAAGGUCCCAAAGUCAUGGUUAAGUGGGAAACGAUGUGGGAAGGCCCAGACAGCCAGGAUGUUGGCUUAGAAGCAGCCAUCAUUUAAAGAAAGCGUAAUAGCUCACUGGUCGAGUCGGCCUGCGCGGAAGAUGUAACGGGGCUAAACCAU